AGAGUUUGAUCAUGGCUCAGGAUGAACGCUAGCGGCGUGCCUAACACAUGCAAGUCGAACGUGAGGGGGUAGAAAUACUUCUGAAAGUGGCGGACGGGUGAGUAAGACGUAGGUGACCUGCCUCGGAGUGGGGGAUAACCGUUGGAAACGAUGGCUAAUACCGCAUAAGGUAGGGAUAAUGGGAAUGUUCCUAACAAAGCUUUGGUGCUUGGAGAGGGGCCUACGGCCGAUUAGCUAGUUGGUGGGGUAAGGGCCUACCAAGGCGAUGAUCGGUAGCUGGUCUGAGAGGACGAUCAGCCACACGGGAACUGAGACACGGUCCCGACUCCUACGGGGGGCAGCAGUGAGGAAUAUUCGGCAAUGGGGGCAACCCUGACCGAGCAACGCCGCGUGGAGGAAGACGGUUUUCGGAUUGUAAACUCCUUUUCUGGGGGAAGAGCAAGGACGGUACUCCAGGAAUCAGUCACGGCUAACUACGUGCCAGCAGCCGCGGUAAUUC
rnacentral:rRNA from 1 species